ensembl:lncRNA
CUCGACCGACCAGGAGGCAACGCGGCAGCUGUCCCAGGAUAGCUCCGCUAAGGGGAUUACUGUGCAGGGCGGGACGUCCCCUCCGUGUGGGACGAGUGAGGAACCGAGGAUUACGCCUCGGUAAUCGCUCUCGACGCCGCAGAAGAAAGGAGCCAAAGCUCAGACACCAAGAACAGAACCCCGGGUAAAGGUGAGCAAAAGCACUUCGGAGAUGUCCAAGGACAAGCUGGAGGGCCUGGUGAAGCGCAUGGAGGAGACGCUGUCGGAGAUGGAGCAGCUGAAGGUGCACUGCGGGAAGCAGAGCGAGGAGCUGAGCCUGCUGGUGGUGGAGGUCCGGAGGGAGAACCAGGAGCUGCUGGAGAAGUACAACCAGCUGGCUGCGGAGAUGAAGGAGGCCAAGGAGGUCAUCGAGCAGCUCAUGGACACAAAACACGCCUUUAACGCGAAGGAGAGGCAGGCGCAGAAGCUGAGUCGGCAGCUCUGAAGGCCCACAGAGAGGACAAAGAAAACUGUGGACGUGACCCUGCUGGAGUCCCGGAGGAAGACUGAGGAAGACUUGGACGAGGCUGAUGGAGGGGAAAAGCAGCUCCUUGCAAGAUCUCUAAAUACUGGGUGGGCACGAAGGCUGAACUGGGAACCUAUAGAACGUGUUUUUUUUUUUGUCUACAUAUGUGUACAUUUUAAGUAGGAGAGCUUAGUAAUUUCGAUGUUACGUGGAUCCUGUGGCUUAGGGCUGUUUUUAAAGCCGUGGCUAGACUUAAUGACCAGGAAUCAGAGCUGGAAGACUCCCAAAAAUGUGGAAGUGUAAAAAGAGGAAACCUGGUGGUGGUGGUGGGGGGGGGGGUCAAAUGGCGUUGUGCUCAUUAGGUUUCUAUCAUCAAACAGCAGCUGAGCCACGCAGCUCCUGUACGGAUCUCAUCUCAUGUUAUUCUGCAGCGUGAAGGACCAGCAGAAGUGGGUGGUCCUUUAUUUUUAGUGUCUGUAGAGUCAAAGUGCUAAAAAUACCUCUUUAUCCCUCCCUACUUAAUCUUGUGAGGUUGGAGACGUCAACCUGCCCCCCCCCCCCACAUGGUCUAUUAUCCAUGUGCUCCAAUAAAGGGCAAAUGCUCAGUGGAUUCCUGAAACUGACUGGAAGCUGCUUUUUGCAACAGGUACAACUUGAAACGUACAGAUAUUAAUGAUGUGAUUGGAUUCAAUGAAGCAUCCAUGUGCAGCUUUAAGCAUGUUUGACACAUAAACUAAAUAAACCAUUAAAAUAGUCCCACUAUUAUUAGCCAACAGGUGUAUGCGAGCGCAUCGCACUCUGUUCGGGGUACUUUUACUCAUAAAAUACAUUCACAAACAAUACUGGUGAGUACAUGAUGGUGAACGUCAUGCUACGAACCACUCGGAUGCUGCUGCUCAGGCUGUUCAGAAGCUGUGAACGUGGUUUCCUCCGUGAGAAGGUUCAGAUGAAGCCCACCGUGAUGGUCCGUGGAACCGGCGAGGUGUUUCACCACGUUCCUCGCCUCCAGAAAAGGUGACGGUUACCCGUGAAGUGAUUUUAAAUGUUUACGCUGACUGAGCCAUUCUAGGCCUCGUGAUCCCAUGUGAGACCGGAUGAUCAGACAUGAGGGUCCAACGGGCUUUUGGACGAUCUUGCAGGUCCGUGGCUCUCCGUUUAUUUCACAGAACCUCCCGUCCAAGAGAGAGGAGACGAGGGGGGUUGAAUCUCAGAGCGUAUAGGCAGAGAUUUAAACACAGCCUUGGAGUGGCGGUUUCCUCCUUAAAACCCAAAAUAAUCAAAUUUAUAUGUUCUCAAACACAGUUCUCCAAAGAGCCUUUAUGUAUUUAAGGCCAGUCCUUUGAAUGAUGAAGACAAAGUUAAAGAUCAACUUCAGGAAAUGAUGUAUUUUUUGUUUUUGUUUUACCUUUAUCGGCUCAAAAAGCGCACAAGCUUAAACAUGCGUGAUCCGGAGCAGCAAACACCUAUUUGCCAUGUGAGGACAUCGUGGAUUAACGUCUACCUGAGCGUUAACCCUCCCCUCCCCUCCCAGGGGAACACCGUUAGCUCUCAGCGCUGUUUAGCACUGUUAGCUGUUGGUUAGCAUUCUGCUCAAUGCCCAGAGGAUGAACCCUACAGCUCGUUCUGUGUAUAACGUUUGAUUUGCAUCUAAAUAUUUGAGCGACUAUUAAAGGGAUUCAAUUAUAAAAAUUUAAAAAAAGUCACAAA